UUCCCUGAGGUGGGUGCGUGUCUAUGUGUUGAGGGGACUAUUCCUAGUUUAUGAGGUGGUAAAUAAAGGAUGUCGGUGGGGUGGGCUGGAGCGGUGACGGGUUAGGUCUGAGAGAAGGCUUCGCACAAAACACUGUACAAACCCGAAAGGAAGUCUGAGACACGAACCGCCUUCCUCGCUGAAGCUUCUAGAACUGGAGCAGAAAGAGGGUGUGGCCCAGGGCCAGCCCCGCCUCCUCCCCGGGCGGAAGCUGUGUGUCAGUUGCCGGAAGUCGGCGUGAGGUGGGGCUUAUGCGGCGGCGUGGUGAAACAGAUAUGGCGACUGAGGGGGAUGUGGAGCUAGAGUUAGAGACUGAGACCAGUGGACCAGAGCGGCCUCCCGAGAAGCCACGGAAACAUGACAGCGGUGCGGCGGACUUGGAGCGGGUCACCGACUAUGCAGAGGAGAAGGAGAUCCAGAGUUCCAAUCUGGAGACGGCCAUGUCUGUGAUUGGAGACAGAAGGUCCCGGGAGCAGAAAGCCAAACAGGAGCGGUAAGUCUUCAGGGGCAGCCAACUUUAAUUCUUCCUUCCCCGGUCCCCAGACAAAAAUAAAAACCAUUAUUAAGCCUUUAUACAGUUCUUCAGCUUUAUCACCAAUCCUGCAGAUCCAGGCGCCACAACUUUACUCUUGUUAGCAGAAGGCCUCCUGGCAACACCUGCUGCUAAGACUCCAGGGGAAAGGAGUAUUAGUGGGAGUCUUUAUUUUCAGUCAAGGGUUUAUCAAGAUUUAUUUACAGGGCACAUCUGGGAAUGACCCUUCCUGGGAGUUUAUGGUGUUGGUUGAGAAUGAGGACUAACAUAUUUAAAUAUUUUUGCAGGGAGAAAGAACUGGCAAAAGUCACUAUCAAGAAGGAAGAUCUGGAGCUGAUAGUGAGUGGUAGUGCCUAACUA
rnacentral:sRNA from 1 species